GAUGAACGCUGGCGGCGUGCCUAAUACAUGCAAGUCGAGCGAACAGAUGAGGAGCUUGCUCCUCUGACGUUAGCGGCGGACGGGUGAGUAACACGUGGAUAACCUACCUAUAAGACUGGGAUAACUUCGGGAAACCGGAGCUAAUACCGGAUAAUAUAUUGAACCGCAUGGUUCAAUAGUGAAAGACGGUUUUGCUGUCACUUAUAGAUGGAUCCGCGCCGCAUUAGCUAGUUGGUAAGGUAACGGCUUACCAAGGCGACGAUGCGUAGCCGACCUGAGAGGGAGGUCGGCCACACUGGAACUGAGACAGGGUCCAGACUCCGACGGGAGGAAGCAGUCGGGAAUCUUCCGCAAGGGGCGAAAGCCUGACGGAGCAACGUCGCGUGAGUGAUGAAGGUCUUCGGAUCGUAAAACUCUGUUAUUAGGGAAGAACAAAUGUGUAAGUAACUAUGCACGUCUUGACGGUACCUAAUCAGAAAGCCACGGCUAACUACGUG
rnacentral:rRNA from 1 species